UAAUUAAACCCCCGCUGCUCACUAAACCUGACUCUAAACUCUACUUCGACAUUUCGCGCGACUACAUACUCCCUUGUCUCUCCGCAUCCUGACCCUCGCUGAAAAUCUCCAUCGCUGGGUUCAAUUGUUAAUUCGCUGCUGGGUUUUCUCAGGUUGUUAUUUGGGUUUUCUUGCUGGGCUGAUUUCACCCAUUCCUCAUCGCUAAAUCCACUGUAUCGUCACCAACAACCCGCUAUAUCGUCAGCAAUUUAGGGGUUUCUCUCACCUUCACCAGCAACUGUGAUUCUCUCGUUUCCGCUGGGUUUUCUUGCUGGGUUGCUUUCAAUUUAGGGGUUUCUCUCUCGGCUGCUUUCAAUUCAGGGGUUUAUCUCUCGGCUGCUUUCAAUUUAGGGGUUUUCUCGUUGGGCUGCUACUAGUGGUGGGUUCAAGGUUUAAGAGCUUUGUUAUUCCAGAGAUAGAUAAUGGAUCGUCUUACCUGGAUGUGCAAAAUUUCACGGGUUGCGCAUGAAUAUGUUACUGGCGUUAAUGAGUUCAUUGCAUGUGCGGUGGAAUAUUUGAAGAGGAAAGGAGAAGAGAGGAUCACAUGUCCAUGUCGUGAUUGUUAUAAUUUGAAAAAAUAUCCUAAUGUUGAUACAGUUCGUGAACAUUUAUUUCGGCGUGGUUUUAUGGCUGAUUAUAUUAAGUGGAUUUGGCAUGGGGAGGGAAUACACUCUGAGAAUACCGAGACAUAUAGUGGAAAUCAUGAAAGUAAUGGAGAUAAAAUGCCUUCAAAAGAAGAAGAUGAUGCAGAAAACGACAGGGUCGAUGAGAUGAUCCAUGACGUUGAAGAUAUUCUAAUGCACCAGCCGGAAGUUCUUGAAAAUUUGGUGGACGAUUCCAAAAAACUUUUAUAUCCUGGGUGCAAUAAUUAAUUUACCAGGUUAUCGACAACCUUAAAGUUGUGUAAGCUCAAAGUAAAAAAUGGGUGGAGUGACAAGAGUUUCACAUAAAUGCUCAAACUUCUAGCAGAAAUGCUUCCAAGAUAAACGUUAUAUCAUAGCACCUUACAUCCAAGAUGACCACUGGAUGUUGCUCCUUUUUUGUCUUAAUGAAAGUGCUAUCUGCGUGUUUGAUUCAUUGAAAAAAGAAAGGAAGAAUACCUGCACGAAUGACAUUCAAAUUAUACGUGUCUCAAAGUGGACUGAGGAACAAUAGAAAAGAAUUUAUAUGGCAUCACACUGAGGUUCAGUGUCCUCAACAGGUAGGAGGUACAGAAUGUGGAUUUUUUGUCAUGAGGUACAUGUAUGACAUAGUCAUGCUUUCUCAGAAAAAUUCUAACACGAACUGGGAAGUGGGAAGUGGUUCUUGGUUCUAGGAGUUAUGGCAAAAAGGAAAUCAAUGAGAUUCGAGAGAUUUGGGCUCAGUUUUUUACUCUUGAAUGUCUCUAGUCGGAUGGCGAUUAAUGCAAAAACGGGAGUGCAGAAAAAGGAGCUUCAAGAAAGCGGAGUUAGUUGAGAGAUUUUUAUGCUCUAAGAUGUUUAAUGUAACUGACUUAAUUUCUAGAGAGAUUGUAAUUAAUAUUGUACUCUUUCUAAUGUAAACAAUCUUUUUAAUUUAUUAUAAUAUAAUUUUUGAGCUAUAUUAAA